AACGUAGGACACAAGCGUUAUCCGGAGUUACUGGGCGUAAAGGGCGUUUAGGCGGGUGAUUAAGUUCGCUAUGAAAGCGCCAGGCUAAACCUGGCGAGGCUGGCGGAUACUGGUCAUCUGGAGUGAGGGAGAGGGAAGUAGAAUUCCGCGUGUAGUGGUGAAAUGCGUAGAGAUGCGGAGGAAUACCAGUGGCGAAGGCGACUUCCUGGCCCUCAACUGACGCUGAAGCGCGAAAGCAUGGGGAGCGAAC
rnacentral:rRNA from 1 species